UACGUAGGGUGCAAGCGUUGUCCGGAAUUAUUGGGCGUAAAGAGCUCGUAGGCGGUCUGUCACGUCGGCUGUGAAAUCCCGAGGCUCAACCUCGGGUCUGCAGUCGAUACGGGCAAACUAGAGUAUUGCAGGGGAGACUGGAAUUCCUGGUGUAGCGGUGGAAUGCGCAGAUAUCAGGAGGAACACCGGUGGCGAAGGCGGUUCUCUGGGCCUGUUCUGACGCUGAGGAGCGAAAGCGUGGGGAGCAAACAGG
rnacentral:rRNA from 1 species